AUUUUAUUUCACUUCGUCAUAUUUGCAAAAAAGUGUUACAAAACAUAAUUUUACAUAUAUUAAUGCAAAAUUAAAUAAUUUUUAAGCUAAUAAGAAAAUUAUGAAUAGAUACUCAAAUUGUAAAAUACUCAAACGCGUAAUAACAGAAUAACAAUAACUGAAUGUAAUAAUAUAAAAUGUUUAGUAAUAUUUUGCUAAUGCUUUGAUUGAUGGAUAUAUUUCACAAAUUUUUGAGACAUUUUAUCACAUUCUUAAGAUAUUUUAAGCAGAAAUGAAUGCUUACCGUAAUGAAAUGUUUCAGCAAUAGCUCGACUCAAACUGAAGUGUGUUUGCAGCAAACUGUCUUUCUUUAUUAGACGAAGGCCGUGUGUUACCCUCUCUCCUGUUGUUUAUCUUGAUACGACACGGAAAAAUUUUCAGUGUGAUUAAGUUAUGUUACAUACAGGGACUCGGGCCAAAAUCAAAUUAUAGUUCGGUUUCAGUUAUGAUUUAAUAAAAUUGAAAACUGUACGGGUUCAAUUUCAAUGUAACAGGUUCUAAUUUCUUGACAAAUAAAGAAAACCGAAAAAAAAACAUUUAAAUUACGAUUUUUUUUUGAUUCCGGUUUCAGAUCUUAAUUUUUUGAUUCUUAAUAAAUAAUAAUAGUAAUUAAUAGUAUUUAAUAAUAUUUGAUAAUAAUUUAAAUAAUUGUAGAGUGUAGAGGAAACAAAAGCUAAGUUGAAUUGUCCUCAUAAACUCAUUGCAUUGCAAAAAAGAAAAAAAGAAAAAACUAGAACUGAUUGAAACCGGUUCCAAUCGGUUCAGAUCUCUGGUUACAUGUGAAAACUAAUUUUCUUACAUUUUAGUUUAACAACAGAAAUGAUUUAUUGGUUCGACACAACUGGCUAAAUUUAUUCGAUACUUCUUAUAACGACGUUUUGACCAUGGUGUUUGGUCCUUAUCAAGUGAUAAAUAAUUUAAUAUAAAUCCACACUUAAGGCAUUGUGUCCACAACAAGCCCGGAAAUCUGUACAAUAAAUUAACAAAAUUCAAUGUAGACGACAACAUUACAAUAAGUUAUAAAAUCCGGUUUAUAUUCUUACGUGUCUUUUGCAUGUCCUAUGGGAUAUAAAGUCGUAAAAAUUCAUUUGUCAAUUUCGUUAGAACAGUAGUUUUGAAACGUUAUCAAAAAGCACGUUAGCACUUGGCAGCGGACAAACAACGAUCCUAUCCGAAAAAUUACAAAUAAAUUCAAUGAUUUGAUCAAAUCUUGGUAUGACAACAACAUUGUUGAUAAACGCAUAUAUUUACAAUUACGUUGUACGAAUGGUAAUCUACCAAGAUGCUACGGACUGCCGAAGAUACAUAAGAACGGUUUUCCAUUGAGAAUUAUUGUUUCAGCGCUGGGCAGCCCUAUUUAUAAUGUAGCAAAAUAUAUACAUAACAUUCUCGUCGAUUCAGUUCCCUAAUUCGUACAUAAAAGAUAGUUGGUCGCUAGUUAAAAAAAUUAAAGAUUUGAGAAUCGAACCUGACGAGUUGCUUAUUUCUUUUGACGUCACAGCACUCUUUACAAAUAUCCCGAAAGAGUUAGUUAUAAAGGGAAUUGAAAAAAGAUGGAAUGACAUUUCUAAAGUAAUGACAUUUAGUCUCCCCCAGUUUUUACACACGAUUGACUUAAUUCUUGACUCCACUAGUUUUGUUUUCAAUGGACAGAUAUAUGAACAGAUCUUCGGCAGUCCCAUAGGGUCUCCGCUUUCGUCUAUUCUCGCGGACAUUGUUAUGGAUGAUCUCGAGGACUACUGCCUCAAUUCACUUGAUUUCGUGGUCCCAACAUUUUAUAGAUAUGUUGAUGACAUUUUUGCAAUCGAACAUCAACGCAAUUUGCUAAAAAAUCCAAAUAAUCAUUUUGUCGUUAGUUAACAUCGCACAUUAAAUAAACAUGACUUUGAUUGGUCGAAACCAAUAAUUUUACAUAAGAUGAAAGAAUGUUCAACUAAAAAACGGGAGAUCGCCGAGAUGUUCUUCAUUAAGAAAUAUAACGAUACAAUUAAUCUGCAAAAAGAUACGGAAAAUUUGACAGCUAUAUAUGAUAAGAUAAUAAAGGCGACUUAGUAUUUGUAUGAAAGCUUCUAUUAUUGUUAUGUAUUAUAUUUUAUAAUUCGACAGUCUUCACAUCAGUCAGUGACCUUUUUUAACGGUUCAACAUAAAUAUAACUUGUAGUUGUUUAGCAGUUUGGUAUCAGACAUCGAUCUUAACGGACAAAUCAUACGACGAUACAUAUCUAAACAGUUUUUGGUUAACGAGAUUUUAAUUUAAUGUUUGACAAACAAUUUUUGACAUAUGUUAUUUGACAUACGAGAAACAAUUUAUGACGUAUCUGGGCACACGUCACAAAUUGCGGAAUGUUAUUAUAACAGUUAUUAUAACUGCCAAAAUAAUAGGUUUACGUAAAAAAUGUAUAUAACCUUUUUUGUAGAGCUUUUUAUGAGCUUCAUUUUUUGUUUGAAACUUUUUUCUUUAAAAUCAAUACUUUCAGAGAUAUACAGUAAAAAUGUUUGCAACUUUAGGAAGUGAUAACGGGCAAACAAAGCUUUGUCGGCGAAAAUCCUUUUAGGGACUUUCUUCUCUAAUCAAGGGUAAGCUUUGGUUAAAAUUUCAGCGCGAUCGGAGGUUUCACCUUUUCGGAAGUUUAUC
rnacentral:lncRNA from 1 species